rnacentral:rRNA from 1 species
ACUCAAAUGAAUUGACGGGGGCCCGCACAAGCAGCGGAGCGUGCGGUUUAAUUCGUCGCAACGCGAAGAACCUUACCAAGGCUUGACAUGCUAGUGGUACCGAUCCGAAAGGUGAGGGACCCUUCGGGGAGCUAGCACAGGUGCUGCAUGGCUGUUGUCAGCUCGUGCCGUGAGGUGUUGGGUUAAGUCCCGCAACGAGCGCAACCCCUGUUGCCAGUUGUAUUCUCUGGCGAGACUGCCCCGUAAAGCGGGGAGGAAGGCGGGGAUGACUUCAAGUCAGCACGGCCCUUACGUCUUGGGCCACUCGCACGCUACAAUGGCCGGUCCAAUAGGUUGCCAAGGAGCGAUCCGGAGCUAAUCCCUAAAGCCGGCCUCAGUUCAGAUUGCAGGCUGAAACCCGCCUGCAUGAAGUCGGAGUUGCUAGUAACUGCCGGUCAGCACACGGCGGUGAAUACGUUCCCGGGCCUUGUACACACCGCCCGU